AGAGGAAACCCUGCUGCAGUACCAGGACUUGGCCUCUUCUCUUCGGCUCUUGAAAGCAGAGCAUUUCAGUGCUGGUUUGGAGUUGGUACACCAGAUCAAGGAGCGUCUCUUUGCAAUUCUCUGGCACUCCACACAGGAUUUCCGGGUUGGGCUCCAGACUUUGGCAGAUCCUGGUCAGAGAAAGGCGAAACUCUCAAAUGUGCCUACUUCAGCCUCUGCCUGUAUAGGGUCAAAAUGUACCAUUUUGUGUGACUCCUCCAACACAGAUGAAGGUGGAAAAGACGUUGAUGAUGAGGAGUAUGAACCACAGUGG